rnacentral:rRNA from 1 species
AUUGAACGCUAGCGGGAUGCUUACACAUGCAAGUCGAACGGCAGCGCGGACUUCGGUCUGGCGGCGAGUGGCGAACGGGUGAGUAAUGUAUCGGAACGUGCCCAGUAGCGGGGGAUAACUACUCGAAAGAGUAGCUAAUACCGCAUACGCCCUACGGGGGAAAGGGGGGGAUCGCAAGACCUCUCACUAUUGGAGCGGCCGAUAUCGGAUUAGCUAGUUGGUGAGGUAAAGGCUCACCAAGGCGACGAUCCGUAGCUGGUUUGAGAGGACGACCAGCCACACUGGGACUGAGACACGGCCCAGACUCCUACGGGAGGCAGCAGUGGGGAAUUUUGGACAAUGGGGGAAACCCUGAUCCAGCCAUUCCGCGUGUGCGAUGAAGGCCUUCGGGUUGUAAAGCACUUUUGGCAGGAAAGAAAUCGCACGGAUUAAUACUCUGUGUGGAUGACGGU